AUCGGAUUACUGGGCGUAAGCGCGCGUAGGCGGCUAAUUAAGUCAAAUGUGAAAUCCCCGAGCUUAACUUGGGAAUUGCAUUCGAUACUGGUUAGCUAGAGUGUGGGAGAGGAUGGUAGAAUUCCAGGUGUAGCGGUGAAAUGCGUAGAGAUCUGGAGGAAUACCGAUGGCGAAGGCAGCCAUCUGGCCUAACACUGACGCUGAGGUGCGAAAGCAUGGGGAGCAAACAGGAUUAGAUACCCUGGUAGUCCAUGCCGUAAACGAUGUCUACUAGCCGUUGGGGCCUUUGAGGCUUUAGUGGCGCAGCUAACGCGAUAAGUAGACCGCCUGGGGAGUACGGUCGCAAGACUAAAACUCAAAUGAAUUGACGGGGGCCCGCACAAGCGGUGGAGCAUGUGGUUUAAUUCGAUGCAACGCGAAGAACCUUACCUGGCCUUGACAUAGUAAGAACUUUCCAGAGAUGGAUUGGUGCCUUCGGGAACUUACAUACAGGUGCUGCAUGGCUGUCGUCAGCUCGUGUCGUGAGAUGUUGGGUUAAGUCCCGCAACGAGCGCAACCCUUUUCCUUAUUUGCCAGCGAGUAAUGUCGGGAACUUUAAGGAUACUGCCAGUGACAAACUGGAGGAAGGCGGGGACGACGUCAAGUCAUCAUGGCCCUUACGGCCAGGGCUACACACGUGCUACAAUGGUCGGUACAAAGGGUUGCUACCUAGCGAUAGGAUGCUAAUCUCAAAAAGCCGAUCGUAGUCCGGAUUGGAGUCUGCAACUCGACUCCAUGAAGUCGGAAUCGCUAGUAAUCGCGGAUCAGAAUGCCGCGGUGAAUACGUUCCCGGGCCUUGUACACACCGCCCGUCACACCAUGGGAGUUUGUUGCACCAGAAGUAGCUAGCCUAACUGCAAAGAGGGCGGUUACCACGGUGUGGCGAUGACUGGGGUGAUCGUACGGAGCCAAUAAAGGGGUGGUUUGUUCGUAAAGGGUGAGUCACACUAGCGAAAGCUAUGAGGAG
rnacentral:rRNA from 1 species